UACGAAGGGGGCUAGCGUUGCUCGGAAUUACUGGGCGUAAAGCGCACGUAGGCGGAUCUUUAAGUCGGUGGUGAAAUCCUGGAGCUCAACUCCAGAACUGCCUCGAUACUGGGAAGCUCGAGUCCGGGAGAGGUGAAGUGGAACUGCGAGUGUAGAGGUGAAAUUCGUAGAAUAUUCGCAAAGAACACCAGUGGCGAAGGCGGCUGCCGCUG
rnacentral:rRNA from 1 species